UAAGGAAUAUUGGUCAAUGGACGCAAGUCUGAACCAGCCAUGCCGCGUGAAGGAUGAAGGCCCUCUGGGUUGUAAACUUCUUUUAUAUGGGAAGAAAUGUGUCGGUUCUCCGACACUUGACGGUACUAUAGGAAUAAGCACCGGCUAACUCCGUG
rnacentral:rRNA from 2 species